AUUGAACGCUGGCGGCAGACCUAACACAUGCAAGUCGAACGAGUGGCGGACGUGUGAGUAAUGUCUGGGAAACUGCCUGAUGGAGGGGGAUAACUACUGGAAACGGUAGCUAAUACCGCAUACCAUCAGAUGUGCCCAGAUGGGAUUAGCUAGUUGAUGGGGUAACGACUCACCAAGGCGACGAUCCCUAACUGGUCUGAGAGGAUGACCAGGCACUCUGGAAUUGAGACACGGUCCAGACUCCUACGGGAGGCAGCAGUGGAGAAUAUUGCACCAUGGGCGAAAGCCUGAUGCAGCCAUGCCGCGUGGAUGAAGAAGGCGUUCGGGUUGUAAAGUACUUUCAGCGUGUCGGCGUUACCCGCAGAAGAAGCGCCGGCUAACUCCGUGCCAGCAGCCGCGGUAAUUC
rnacentral:rRNA from 1 species